GUGCCAGCAGCCGCGGUAAGACGAACCGUGCAAACGUUAUUCGGAUUCACUGGGCUUAAAGGGCGCGUAGGCGGGUCAUCAAGUCUGGGGUGAAAUACUUCGGCUCAACCGGAGAACAGCCUUGGAUACUGGUGGCCUCGAGGGAGAUAGGGGUGCGUGGAACUUCCGGUGGAGCGGUGAAAUGCGUAGAUAUCGGAAGGAACGCCGGUGGCGAAAGCGGCGCACUGGAUCUCUUCUGACGCUGAGGCGCGAAAGCUAGGGGAGCGAACGGGAUUAGAAACCCCGGUAGUCC
rnacentral:rRNA from 1 species